rnacentral:rRNA from 1 species
UACAGAGGUGGCAAGCGUUGUUCGGAAUUACUGGGCGUAAAGGGCGCGUAGGCGGUUCGUUAAGUCCUGUGUGAAAUCCCCCGGCUCAACUGGGGAACGGCACAGGAAACUAGCGGGCUUGAGUUCGGGAGAGGGAAGCGGAAUUUCGGGUGUAGCGGUGAAAUGCGUAGAUAUCCGGAGGAACACCGGUGGCGAAGGCGGCUUCCUGGACCGACACUGACGCUGAGGCGCGAAAGCUAGGGGAGCAAACGGG